GACAGAGGUGCCGAGCGUUAGGCGGAAUCACUGGGCUUAAAGCGUGUGUAGGCGGGCCGUUAAGUGUCUUGUGAAAUCCCCCGGCUCAACCGGGGAAUUGCUGGGCAUACUGGCGGUCUUGAGCGAUCUAGGGGCAGAUGGAACAAGUGGUGGAGCGGUGAAAUGCGUAGAGAUCGGAAAGAACACCAACGGCGAAAGCACUCUGCUGGGCCGACACUGACACUGAGAGACGAAAGCUAGGGGAGCGAAUGGG
rnacentral:rRNA from 1 species